AUGACCAAUGUCUAUAAGAUUAACAUCUGCACAAGACAUGGCAAGGUUAUAUACAAUCUUACGGCACAAGAAUCUGCUGGCCAGCCAGGGUUCGAGUUGGAAGAAAUGGAAUAUUUAUCUUUUUAUCCCAUCUUCCAGUUUCUUGCAAAUACUGUAGAAUGACUUUAUUAUAGCAUCAUUUUACGUCCAUUUUGCGCCCAAAGCCUCCACAGUAUGGUUAGCGUUAUCUUUUCUCUCCCCUUUUGAGAAAAUUUAGCAGGUUUCAGGUACUUACAAUUAGACUUUGUGGACAUGCAAUUUUCUAGAUAGAUGACUUGAUUAUUAGCCUGCAAGGAAUAGUCCAUAUCUGAAUGAGGUCCUGGAUUUUAAUUCUCAUAGUUCCGGCUAUCAUUGUACAAUUGUUAGUCACCAAGAUUGUUGGAAAGCAUCGAUAAACUUGAAUCUGAAAACCUCAGGCCAUGAAAGCAGAGGACAACUACCAAAUUGAACUGUUUCUCUGUUUCAUCCUUCAAAAAAAAAAGGGGUUAAUGCAUCUCAAUCUCAUCAUUGAAUUUGACUAGUGUAUGCUAUCAGGUUUUUCUCUACUCAUCAUAUAUUGGAAAACCUCCUGUGCAAAUUGAGAAAGAUACUAGACGCCCAAAAUAUUUCAGUCCUGGUGAAGCAGUCGGGUAUGGUGUCAUUGACAAGGUAUUGUACAAUGAAAGAGACUGAGCAGAUCAUGGUGCCAAAAUUCAGAGCAUAGGAAAGCCUGUCUUGCUUAGGUGUUAGAAGUAGCAUCCAUUUGUACGAGAUCAUCAUUGUUCCUUUCUGUAAAGCAAAGUGACCUUGAACAAGUUGGUGGGUUUGCUAGAUUUCAAAAGAUGAUCUUAUACCUUUUAUCUACUUGCACAAAUGCUAUCUUGUUUCAAGUGUUCAGUUUCUAUCUCUUGUAUUUGUGGGAGACUAAUUGGCUAGAGUUAGGUGGAUAGAAAUCCAAGGAGACUAGGAAUGUCAUUGAUGCUAUUAUUUUCGAUGCUAACCCACUUGUUUUUUUUUUUUUUAAUGACAGGUAUCAUGGUUAUUAUGUGAUUAUUGCUUGUAGCCCCAUCCUAGCUCCAAGAUAUGAUUGUCAUUGACAGACUAAGUCUGAUGCUUUAUGAUAGUGAGAUGCUACAAUGGUUUGCAUAAUCUUAUGUAGUUGUGAACAUUUUAAAUAUUUUUGCUUUGCUU